GUGGGGAAUAUUGCGCAAUGGGCGAAAGCCUGACGCAGCGACGCCGCGUGAGGGAUGAAGGUCCUCGGAUCGUAAACCUCUGUCAGAAGGGAAGAAGUUGCACUGUGCUAAUCAGCGGUGCAUUGACGGUACCUUCAAAGGAAGCACCGGCUAACUCCGUGCCAGCAGCCGCGGUAAUACGGAGGGUGCGAGCGUUAAUCGGAAUUACUGGGCGUAAAGCGCACGUAGGCUGUAUAUCAAGUCAAGGGUGAAAUCCCCGGGCUCAACCUGGGAACUGCCUUUGAAACUGGUAAACUGGAGUAUGUGAGAGGGUGGCGGAAUUCCUGGUGUAGGAGUGAAAUCCGUAGAUAUCAGGAGGAACAUCAGUGGCGAAGGCGGCCACCUGGCACAAAACUGACGCUGAGGUGCGAAAGCGUGGGUAGCAAACAGGA
rnacentral:rRNA from 1 species